rnacentral:rRNA from 1 species
UACGUAGGUGGCAAGCGUUGUCCGGAAUUAUUGGGCGUAAAGCGCGCGCAGGCGGUCCUUUAAGUCUGAUGUGAAAGCCCACGGCUCAACCGUGGAAGGUCAUUGGAAACUGGGGGACUUGAGUGCAGAAGAGGAAAGUGGAAUUCCAAGUGUAGCGGUGAAAUGCGUAGAGAUUUGGAGGAACACCAGUGGCGAAGGCGACUUUCUGGUCUGUAACUGACGCUGAGGAGCGAAAGCGUGGGGAGCAAACAGG